UGGUCAUCACGUAAACAGAAAGCAUAAGAGGUGGGGGGAAGGGGCGAGAGAAAGCGGCGCCUUCUCCCGUUCAACCCUCCCCCCCAAAAAAAACCCUAGAAUAGAAGACACCUUGAGGGAGGCCCAAAGUCCUCCGCCGCAAGUUCGCCUCACCGCGCGGGUUUAGGGGUUUUGAGGAGGAGAGAAGGGGAAAAGAGAGAGACCGAGACAGAGGUGGCGAUGAAUUUUAAGAAUGUUAAGGUGCCGAGUCCCGGCCCGGGGGCGGGGACGCUGCUCAAGGUGGCGCUCUUCGGCGGCGCCGCCGUCUACGGCGCUCUCAAUAGCCUCUACAACGUCGAGGGUGGCCACCGAGCUAUCGUGUUCAAUCGCAUCCAAGGCAUCAAGGAAAAGUGUUUUCCACAGGUUUAUCCUGAGGGAACCCAUUUGAUGAUCCCCUGGUUUGAGAGGCCUAUCAUUUACGAUGUUCGUGCUCGCCCCCAUCUUGUGGAGAGUACUUCUGGGAGUCGUGAUCUUCAAAUGGUGAAGAUCGGGCUUCGGGUUCUUACAAGACCCCUACCAGACCAGCUACCAACAAUCUAUCGAACAAUUGGGGAGAACUAUAAUGAGAGGGUUCUGCCUUCAAUUAUUCAUGAAACUCUGAAGGCUGUGGUAGCACAAUACAAUGCCAGCCAGCUGAUCACACAAAGAGAGGCUGUAAGUAGGGAGAUACGGAAGAUAUUGACGGAGAGGGCCCGAAACUUCAAUAUUGCGCUGGAUGAUGUGUCCAUUACGACCCUGAGUUUUGGGAAGGAAUUUACUCAUGCGAUUGAAGCUAAACAGGUGGCUGCACAAGACGCUGAGCGUGCUAAGUUCAUUGUUGAAAAAGCAGAGCAAGACAAAAGAAGUGCUGUUAUCAGAGCACAGGGUGAGGCCAAGAGUGCCCAGCUUAUAGGUCAAGCUAUCGCAAGUAACCCUGCAUUUGUUGCCUUACGGCAGAUUGAGGCUGCAAGGGAAAUAGCUCAUACAAUUGCAAAUUCGUCCAACCGAGUGUUCUUGAAUUCCAGUGAUCUCUUGCUGAAUCUUCAAGAGCUGAAUGCGGACAACACAACCAAACUGAAGAAGUGAAAUAGUCUGAUUUUCCCCUGUGGUAGGAAAAAGAAACUUCCAAGUGGAACAAUGAUGAUAAUUGGAAAAGUUUCAUCGGUUCCCUAUUUUUCAUAGAAAACUUUGCUAGAGGAAAACUUUCAUACCAGUCCUCGUCAGACAAGUUGUCUGGUGACACAGGUGCUGUUUGCCCCCUGAUCAACAAGUUAAUUGUAUUGUGGACGGCAGCAAGUUGAGGUGAUCAGUCCCUGCGGCUACACGGCUACUUCAGAGGAGAAACCGCCUCAAGUGGAGAAUAAAGGAAAAACUUUAGCAAGGCAUUUCAUUAAUGCCGUCAAUGGCGUUAGAAUGAUCUUUUGGGGGGUUGACGAAGUAAAGAACUGCUUAUAGGAAGUGAAAAGUGUGAUAUAAGAAUGGUUGUAGCAGACCUUUGCAGUCUUGCUGCAGAUCAUGGAUGGGUGGUCUAUUUGUAUUAUUUGAUGUUGUGAUUGCCAUCCAACAGCUCUUCCAUGAGGUUAUGUGCAACCAUGCUGGAGUUUUGUGGUUGCAUAUCCCUAGUCCCUACCGAUUCCAAUUGUCUCCGUCGGUGGAGAAUAUACAAAUUGUAUUGCUCUUAAUGCAAAUGUCUCUGCUGAUUUUCUUUACUGCAAAUAACACUGGUUUGA